rnacentral:rRNA from 1 species
CCCUUAGAUGUUCUGGGCCGCACGCGCGCUACACUGAUGCAUGCAACGAGUUCUAUCCUUGGCCGGAAGGCCUGGGUAAUCUGUGAACGUGCAUCGUGAUAGGGAUAGAUUAUUGCAAUUAUUAAUCUUGAACGAGGAAUUCCUAGUAAACGCAAGUCAUCAGCUUGCAUUGAUUACGUCCCUGCCCUUUGUACACACCGCCCGUCGCACCUACCGAUCGAAGGUAAUGAUGAGCCCUCAGGAUUGUGGCCUCGUCGCGUCAGCGUCUUGGCUGCGAGAAUCUGUGCAAAUCCCUACCUUUAGAGGAAGGUGAAGUCGUAACA